UCUUUUGGAUUUCAGAAUGUUUAUUAAAGCUAACCGGCGGAAUUCCGCUUUUAAGCUAAAAAAAUUCUGAAGCUUUUGAGCCGCAAAAAAUCGAAUCAUCCAUCGGAGACUUUCCUGCACCGGAUUCUUUCUAUCAUUCAACGUCACCACCUUAUCGUCGUCUCUUUUCAUUCGCCCCAGACCCUGAGAAUGUACUAAUCACAGGGUCAUAGCUAAUUGUCGGCUGGCCGCCCUACUUUGGUGACCGAUUUUCGAGAAUGUGAGCCACACGCACCGCUAGAAAAUUUGCAAUCCGGCUCGAAAUCGCACGGCUUCUUCCUUUGACUGUUAUCUCUGCUCCACCCCUUCUCCGACCUACUUUUGUGCAUGGGCAAGCAUGACUCGUCUGAUUUCCCACACGGGAAAACACGGUCCUCUGGUUUCUGGUUUCGCGCAUCUGUUUUUGUCCUCUAGUCUCUGGUUUCGUGCAUUUGUUUUUGUGCAGGGGAAAAGCUUCACAGAUCUGGCAUAUGUUCUCGAUUCUGUUCGGUUUCCUCUGCCGCGCAAUCUGGUCGUGUCACACUAUAACAAGUUUCAUGCGGCCGUGCGCAAUCUUCGCCCUCCCAACUGCGUGUUGUCGCGCCUUCUCCCAGUAGGUCCAUCCGAUCUGGUUGCAAUCUGUCCUCCCGCAGUGCGCGACUGACAUCUGUCUCUGGCUCCACACUUGUCUCUCUCAGAUUCGGUUCUGGUUCUUGUCUCCAGUGAUCUUCUCUGGUCUCGCAAUGUUUUUCGACCUUUGUUGGUACUGGUUCUAAUGUUUGUUUUAUACUUGUGAGAUUCACUACUCGGUAUUAUUUUUAUCUUGUUUCUAUUACUAAAAAAAUGACAGAAGUAAAAAAUUGAUUGUCUCAUCUGAUAACCCCAUUACAAAUAAGUCUGUAAGCUUUAUGAAACUAAUUAUCUUUUGUGAUCAAGAUUCUGUUUACUAUUUAUCAAAGUUAGAGGAUUGUAGGGUUAUAUUUAUGGUGAUGUGAAGAAACUAGAUGUCAGUAGUUUGCAAUAUAAUAGAUGGAAUUUUGAAAA